GACGGAGGGCGCAAGCGUUGUUCGGAAUUACUGGGCGUAAAGCGCGCGCAGGCGGGAAGAUAAGUCUGGAGUGAAAUUCCGGGGCUCAACUCCGGAGCUGCUUUGGAUACUGUCUUUCUAGGGACCGGUAGAGGCCGGUGGAAUUCCCGGUGUAGCGGUGGAAUGCGUAGAGAUCGGGAAGAACACCCGUGGCGAAGGCGGCCGGCUGGGCCGGAUCCGACGCGUGAGGCGCGAAGCGUGGGGAGCAAACAGG
rnacentral:rRNA from 1 species